GAUGCAAUAUGUCUGCGCCCAGGGGACGCUUGCUGGGAGCAGCCAUUUUCAACCCUACUGCCGUAGAGCAGGCGGAGUCCCUCUUUUCGCGCCUUAAGACAGAAACACAAAAUGAUCCUCUGACAAGUGAUGAAGAAGAAUGGGAAGAUGUGAAAAUCCAAGCAAGAAGAACUUAGGGGAAGCAACUCAACAUCUAAGAAGAAAUGAAUAGGGAUCAGUUCCAAGAAGAGAUAAAGGGGAAAUACCCAAGAACUGGGAUGCUUCGUCUUUGGUUUCUUCUGGAUCCUCCCUAAAUUUUGGCUAAGAAAUCUGAGUCUCCAUUUAAGAGUGUUCCCAGAAAUGAUGACAUCCACAUCCAGGAACCUCCUCCUUCCUUCAUUUGAACUCUCUUGCUUCUGGGGAGCCAGGACCUAUGGAGUAAAAAUCAAGUUCAUUUGGUGACACAUUCCCUCCGGGCCCAGAUGCUGUCUCUGCUGCUGUAAACUCUCCUGCAGUCAAGGCCAAGCAAUAUAUCUAAGCAUCCCUUUGUCAGGUGUCCCCAAGUCUUUACAUCCCAGGGCAAUAAAACAACACUCUGAA
rnacentral:lncRNA from 10 species